rnacentral:rRNA from 1 species
UGGCNUCAGANNNGANCNNNGGNNGGNGUGCCUAAUACAUGCAAGUCGAACGAAGAUUAAGUAGCUUGCUAUUUAAUCUUAGUGGCGCACGGGUGAGUAANGUAUAGUUAAUNUGCNCCAUAGUGGAGGACAACAGUUAGAAAAUGACUGCUAAUACUCCAUACUCCUUCUUAUCAUAAGUUAAGUCGGGGAAAGUUUUUCGCUANGGGAUGAGACUAUAUCGUAUCAGCUAGUUGGUAAGGUAAUGGCUUACCAAGGCUAUGACGCGUAACUGGUCUGAGAGGAUGAUCAGUCACAUUGGAACUGAGACACGGUCCAAACUCCUACGGGNGGCAGCAGUAGGGAAUAUUGCGCAAUGGGGGAAACCCUGACGCAGCAACGCCGCGUGGAGGAUGACACUUUUCGGAGCGUAAACUCCUUUUGUUAGGGAAGAAUAAUGACGGUACCUAACGAAUAAGCACCGGCUAACUCCGUGCCAGCAGCCGCGGUAAUACGGAGGGUGCAAGCGUUACUCGGAAUCACUGGGCGUAAAGGACGCGUAGGCGGAUUAUCAAGUCUCUUGUGAAAUCUAGUGGCUUAACCACUAAACUGCUUGGGAAACUGAUAAUCUAGAGUAAGGGAGAGGCAGAUGGAAUUCUUGGUGUAGGGGUAAAAUCCGUAGAGAUCAAGAAGAAUACUUAUUGCGAAGGCGAUCUGCUAGAACUUAACUGACGCUAAUGCGUGAAAGCGUGGGGAGCAAACAGG